rnacentral:rRNA from 1 species
UACGAAGGGGGCUAGCGUUGUUCGGAAUCACUGGGCGUAAAGGGCGCGUAGGCGGCCGCUCAAGUCGGGGGUGAAAGCCUGUGGCUUAACCACAGAAUUGCCUUCGAUACUGUUUGGCUUGAGACCGGAAGAGGUGAGUGGAACUGCGAGUGUAGAGGUGAAAUUCGUAGAUAUUCGCAAGAACACCAGUGGCGAAGGCGGCUCACUGGCCCGGUACUGACGCUGAGGUGCGAAAGCGUGGGGAGCAAACGGG